UACGUAGGGAGCAAGCGUUGUCCGGAAUCAUUGGGCGUAAAGCGCGCGUAGGUGGCCCCGUAAGUCCGCUGUGAAAGUCAAAGGCUCAACCUUUGAAAGCCGGUGGAUACUGUGGGACUAGAGUACGGAAGAGGCGAGUGGAAUUCCUGGUGUAGCGGUGGAAUGCGCAGAUAUCAGGAGGAACACCAAUAGCGAAGGCAGCUCGCUGGGACGUUACUGACACUGAGGCGCGAAAGCGUGGGGGAGCGAACAGG
rnacentral:rRNA from 1 species